CCUACGGGUGGCAGCAGUGGGGAAUAUUGGACAAAGGGCGAAAGCCUGAUCCAGCCAUGCCGCGUGUGUGAAGAAGGCCUUCGGGUUGUAAAGCACUUUCAGUGGGGAAGAAAGCCUUGGGGCUAAUACCCUCGAGGAAGGACAUCACCCACAGAAGAAGCACCGGCUAACUCCGUGCCAGCAGCCGCGGUAAUACGGAGGGUGCGAGCGUUAAUCGGAAUUACUGGGCGUAAAGCGCGCGUAGGCGGUCUGAUAAGCCGGUUGUGAAAGCCCCGGGCUCAACCUGGGAACGGCAUCCGGAACUGUCAGGCUAGAGUGCAGGAGAGGAAGGUAGAAUUCCCGGUGUAGCGGUGAAAUGCGUAGAGAUCGGGAGGAAUACCAGUGGCGAAGGCGGCCUUCUGGACUGACACUGACGCUGAGGUGCGAAAGCGUGGGUAGCAAACAGGAUUAGAUACCCCAGUAGUC
rnacentral:rRNA from 1 species